GGGCAGAGCAACAUUGUUUUGACAGUGAAAUUUACCAAUUUAUAAUUUUUUAAGAAAAGCAUGCCUAGCACAGACCACCUGAUUACCAAGAGGAAGCUGAAGAGGAGAUUCUACUAGAGAUCACAAUCAAGUAGAAGACUUAGACUUUAAAGAAGGAAAGAUAAAUGCGUGAAAAAUUAGGUUUCUUGAGUACAGGCGAUCAGGCUGCAAAGGGGAACUAUGGACUCCUUGAUCUCAUACAAGCUUUAAGAUGGACUAGUGAAAACAUUGGAUUCUUUGGUGGUGACCCCUUAAGAAUCACUGUUUUUGGAUCUGGUGCUGGGGGUUCAUGUGUCAACCUGCUGACUUUAUCCCAUUAUUCUGAAGGACUUUUUCAACGAGCAAUAGCUCAAAGUGGAACAGCCCUUUCCAGCUGGGCUGUUAGUUUUCAACCUGCAAAAUAUGCCAGAAUGUUGGCCACAAAAGUUGGUUGCAAUGUUUCAGAUACAGUAGAGUUAGUGGAAUGCCUACAGAAGAAGCCUUACAAAGAACUUGUUGACCAAGAUAUUCAACCAGCUCGAU
rnacentral:sRNA from 1 species